GGGAUCGUGGUGUACUGGUGUAACGCUAAGAGAUCAGAUUUAGUUUUAAUCUGACUAAAUGAGGGGCAGGUUCAAUCCCUGUCGAUCCCA
rnacentral:tRNA from 1 species